AUCUCUUCGCAUAUCAUGGAUCGUCAUCAAAUCGCAAAGAAAGGGGCCAAGAACUUCCUCCUCUCUCCAAUCGUCGUCGCCGCCCCCCAUCCCAUUCUCUCUGAAGGCGCGCACACACAUUCACUCCAUAAAGGCCCUCCCCGCCUGCAAACGAAGCGCAUACACGCACAAAUUUCCAUUCCCUGUCGGUCCUUUGGCCUACAGGGUUGACCUUAGGCAGCCCGGCUGGCGAGACCGGGAUAGGCUAGCCAGUUCUUACGCCCCUCCAAGCUUUGAGAGGCGACGCGGUGCUAUUCGGGGAGCGGGGCACCGAGUAUGAGAAGGGAAAAGGGACAGAUGGGCCCUGAAGCUCCGUGUCAGCGGACGCAGCGCCACCACCCGCAGGGCCCAAGAGAGGCCUCAGAAGACAGAAAGCCCCUGGUGAUUCUUCCCUCACGGCUCUUCCGUCUCAGCCUUGGCCUAUGAACUCCUCCCUCACAGUUCCAGAGUUUGGAGCGGUAUCUGCCACCACCACCCCCUCCCACCAAACAGACCGGGCCUGGCGUGGCCUGCUCUCCCCGCGCUCCCUUGCGGGGCUCCAUUCCCACCUCCUGGUUGAAAGCGUUCACGGCCUCCAUGUUGUCGCUCGGCAGCCUUUGGUAGCGCGCGCGAAGGAGCCCCGAGGAGGUCGCGGGACGUCGUUUUCGUCAGCGUCCCGCCUUCAGGACCUCGGCGCUAACAUGUCCGUUUGGCGGUAGCCCGCAGCAUCUCGUUGGCAAAAUCUCGGCGCAGACUGUCUCCCUCCCUACAGGACGGCGGCGCCCACGCUGCGAACAGUACUCUGGGAUAGCGCAGGCCUCCGGGCCUCGCGCCACCCAUCGGAGAAGGAAGAGCGACGUACAAAAACUCCCAUCGACUGGCAUACAAACGAACAAGCGAGCACGCGCUCCGGGAGGAUCACGUGACACCAUUCACUUUCCCCCCGCCUUCCACUUUUCAUCUCCAAUUUCCGGAGACUCCCAGAAGCUGCCGAUUCCCCUUUCUCGUGGGUCGUGGGAAAGGAGGCAAACUCAUUCUCACUUUAAUUUACUAUGGAUUAGAUGGAAAUCGUUACGAAAAGAAAAUCUCACUGUUACCCACUUUAUACUACAUACUCCAUUAAAGUCAAUGCUGAGUAAGGAUGCUGAAGACAAGGAAUGAGAAACAAUGGUGGACUUUGCCUUGACAGAUUCGUCCCCAACAGUUUCAGAUUUAUAUCAUUCCUGAAUGGAAUUGCCAUGGGCUUGAAAGUCUGUUUCUUCAGUGUGGUACAUCUGAGAAGAAUGUAGCUUCAGCAACUU